AUUGAACGCUGGCGGCAGGCCUAACACAUGCAAGUCGAACGAGUGGCGGACGGGUGAGUAAUGUCUGGGAAACUGCCUGAUGGAGGGGGAUAACUACUGGAAACGGUAGCUAAUACCGCAUACCAUCGGAUGUGCCCAGAUGGGCUUCGCAAGUUGGUGGGGUAAAGGCGCACCUAGGCGACGAUCCCUAGCUGGUCUGAGAGGAUGACCACACACACGUGAACUGAGACACGGGCCAGACUCCUACGGUAGGCAGCAGUGGGGAAUAUUGCACAAUGGGCGCAAGCCUGAUGCAGCCAUGCCGCGUGUAUGAAGAAGGCCUUCGGGUUGUAAAGUACUUUCAGCGGGGAGGCGUUACCCGCAGAAGAAGCACCGGCUAACUCCGUGCCAGCAGCCGCGGGAAUAC
rnacentral:rRNA from 1 species